rnacentral:pre_miRNA from 1 species
UUAACUCAUAUUUGUAUGCAGUUGGAACAGCGCCCCUAGCGGCCAACGUAGUCAAACGUUCCACCUCCAUACAAAUGUGAGUUA